rnacentral:rRNA from 1 species
CCCCUAGAUGUUCUGGGCCGCACGCGCGCUACACUGAACAGUUCAACAAGUCUUAACCUUGGCCGAUAGGUCUGGGUAAUCUUUGAACGCUGUUCGUGAUUGGGAUAGACCUUUGCAAUUAUGGGUCUUCAACGAGGAAUUCCUAGUAAACGCAAGUCAUCAGCUUGCAUUGAUUACGUCCCUGCCCUUUGUACACACCGUCCGUCGCACCUACCGAUUGAAUGGCCCGGUGAAAUCUCGGGACGGCGGCUUGGUCGCUUGCGUCCGACUGCUGAAACUUGAUUAAACCAUAUCAUUUAGAGGAAGGUGAAGUCGUAACA